rnacentral:rRNA from 1 species
CAGCCGCCACGGGAAUACGUAGGGUGCGAGCGUUAAUCGGAAUUACUGGGCGUAAAGCGUGCGCAGGCGGUUCGUUAAGACAGAUGUGAAAUCCCCGGGCUCAACCUGGGACCUGCAUUUGUGACUGUAUAGCUAGAGUACGGUAGAGGGGGAUGGAAUUCCGCGUGUAGCAGUGAAAUGCGUAGAUAUGCGGAGGAGCACCGAUGGCGAAGGCAAUCCCCUGGACCUGUACUGACGCUCAUGCACGAAAGCGUGGGGAGCAAACAGGAUUAGAUACCCGAGUAGUCCCUGUCUCUUAUAC